rnacentral:rRNA from 1 species
CUACGGAGGGUGCAAGCGUUAAUCGGAAUUACUGGGCGUAAAGCGUUCGUAGGCGGUUAUUUAAGUUAGAUGUGAAAGCCCCGGGCUUAACCUGGGAACUGCAUUUAAAACUGGAUAACUAGAGUUUAGGAGAGGGAAGUGGAAUUUCAGGUGUAGCAGUGAAAUGCGUAGAGAUCUGAAGGAACACCAGUGGCGAAGGCGACUUCCUGGACUAGAACUGACGCUGAGGAACGAAAGCGUGGGUAGCAAACGGGAUUAGAAACCCGUGUAGUCC